GACGAACGCUGGCGGCGUGCUUAACACAUGCAAGUCGAGCGGUAAGGCCCUUUCGGGGGUACACGAGCGGCGAACGGGUGAGUAACACGUGGGUGACCUGCCCUCAGCUCUGGGAUAAGCCUGGGAAACUGGGUCUAAUACCGGAUAUGACUCCAUGACGCAUGUUGUGGGGUGGAAAGCCUUGUGCGGCUGAGGAUGGGCCCGCGGCCUAUCAGCUUGUUGGUGGGGGAUGGCCUACCAAGGCGACGACGGGUAGCCGGCCUGAGAGGGCGACCGGCCACACUGGGACUGAGACACGGCCCAGACUCCUACGGGAGGCAGCAGUGGGGAAUCUUGCGCAAUGGGCGAAAGCCUGACGCAGCGACGCCGCGUGAGGGAUGACGGCCUCGGUCGUAAC
rnacentral:rRNA from 1 species